rnacentral:rRNA from 1 species
ACCGAACGCUGGCGGCAGGCCUAACACAUGCAAGUCGAACGGAUCCUUCGGGAUUAGUGGCGGACGGGUGAGUAACACGUGGGAACGUGCCCUUUGGUUCGGAACAACUCAGGGAAACUUGAGCUGAUACCGGAUGUGCCCUUCGGGGGAAAGAUUUAUCGCCAUUGGAGCGGCCCGCGUCUGAUUAGCUAGUUGGUGAGGUAACGGCCCACCAAGGCGACGAUCAGUAGCUGGUCUGAGAGGAUGAUCAGCCACACUGGGACUGAGACACGGCCCAGACUCCUACGGGAGGCAGCAGUGGGGAAUCUUGCGCAAUGGGCGAAAGCCUGACGCAGCCAUGCCGCGUGAAUGAUGAAGGUCUUAGGAUUGUAAAAUUCUUUCAGCGGGGACGAUAAUGACGGUACCCGCAGAAGAAGCUCCGGCUAACUUCGUG